rnacentral:rRNA from 1 species
GACGAACGCUGGCGGCGUGCUUAACACAUGCAAGUCGAACGGAAAGGCCCGGCUUUUGUGGGGUGCUCGAGUGGCGAACGGGUGAGUAACACGUGAGUAACCUGCCCUUGACUUUGGGAUAACUUCAGGAAACUGGGGCUAAUACCGGAUAGGAGCUCCUGCUGCAUGGUGGGGGUUGGAAAGUUUCGGCGGUUGGGGAUGGACUCGCGGCUUAUCAGCUUGUUGGUGGGGUAGUGGCUUACCAAGGCUUUGACGGGUAGCCGGCCUGAGAGGGUGACCGGCCACACUGGGACUGAGAUACGGCCCAGACUCCUACGGGAGGCAGCAGUGGGGAAUAUUGCACAAUGGGCGGAAGCCUGAUGCAGCGACGCCGCGUGCGGGAUGACGGCCUUCGGGUUGUAAACCGCUUUCGCCUGUGACGAAGCGUGAGUGACGGUAAUGGGUAAAGAAGCACCGGCUAACUACGUG